rnacentral:lncRNA from 1 species
AGAGAUCUAGAUUUAGAAAUACGAUUACGCGUAGGGAAGGAUCAACACCCUACCACACCUAUCCUAAGAUAGUACCAUCUUAGCUUAUGACAUUUUUAUUAGGGUUUUAUGCUUUCAAAUUAACCAAAUUAUUUUACGCCUAAUGACUCCCUUAUUACAAAUUAUCAAAAAUAAUAAUAAAAUCCUAAAAAUAUUAAAAUAUUAACAAUCAACCAAAAUUGUAAUAAACAAUAAAAAAAAUAACCGCGAACCAAUCAAUAAAAAAUAAUAGGAAAAAUGAUACAAAAUUAAAAUUAAAAUUAAAUAAAACAAUCAUACAACCAAAAUAAUUAAAAAUCCUCGUAGCAAAA